GCAGUGGUAGCUCAGUGGUAGCAUUCUCGCCUUCCAUGUGCAAGUCCCGGGUUCAAUUCCUGGCCAGUGCA
rnacentral:tRNA from 1 species